AAACAUCUUCAAAUGUGUUCUACCGAACUUUCUAUUCUCCUCUUAGCUUACGCGGCAUCAAUUCUUGCAUUCCUGCAGGAUGUUUUAGGGUUUAAGAGAUUAAGAGAUUAAGAGGAAAGGGCAUACUAAUAGAAAAACUGUAAACUCAGAAAACCUAGAUCUAAUGUUUAACGAGAAAAGAGAGAAAACCUGAACCAUCAGCGUUGUCAAGUCCCAUCGCGUAUUCGGUUGUAUUUGCCGUUAAUGUUCCAAUCAAUCUUCGACAAAGCAGUUGAUUGAUCGGAUCUUGAAAGGAGAGGUAUAUACUUCAGGUUUGAAGAGAGAUUGGGAAAGAAGGUUUUUUUUUUUUAAUAAUUUUG
rnacentral:lncRNA from 1 species